rnacentral:rRNA from 1 species
GACGAACGCUGGCGGCGUGCCUAAUACAUGCAAGUAGAACGCUGAAGCUUGGUGCUUGCACCGAGCGGAUGAGUUGCGAACGGGUGAGUAACGCGUAGGUAACCUGCCUGGUAGCGGGGGAUAACUAUUGGAAACGAUAGCUAAUACCGCAUAACAGUAGAUAUCGCAUGAUAGCUACUUGAAAGGUGCAAAUGCACCACUACCAGAUGGACCUGCGUUGUAUUAGCUAGUUGGUGAGGUAACGGCUCACCAAGGCAACGAUACAUAGCCGACCUGAGAGGGUGAUCGGCCACACUGGGACUGAGACACGGCCCAGACUCCUACGGGAGGCAGCAGUAGGGAUUCUUCGGCAAUGGACGGAAGUCUGACCGAGCAACGCCGCGUGAGUGAAGAAGGUUUUCGGAUCGUAAAGCUCUGUUGUAAGAGAAGAACGAGUGUGAGAGUGGAAAGUUCACACUGUGACGGUAUCUUACCAGAAAGGGACGGCUAACUACGUG